AUUUGAUGUUUUGAGUAAACUGGGGAAUAUGCAAGAUUAUGGCAAAUUAGGGUUAGGUUUGGGAUUUUUCAAUUUGAGAGUUUUUGAUUGAGAUUGAUGGGUUGUAAAGCCUUCUGUAGGUUGGAAUAUAAGCGUUAUCGAUUUCAAUGGAAGUUAUUUCAAGGAUUGACCAUGUAGUAUACGAAGUUUUGGCCUAUUGAUUAAGUGGCAGUUGGUUUUGAUGGUGGCAGUUGGUUUUGAUGGUCGACACGUCUAUGUGAUGUUAGGUCAAGUUAGAGUUGAUCUUGUGUGAAAUGGG
rnacentral:lncRNA from 1 species